UACGAAGGGGGCUAGCGUUGCUCGGAAUUACUGGGCGUAAAGGGAGCGUAGGCGGAUAGUUUAGUCAGAGGUGAAAGCCCAGGGCUCAACCUUGGAAUUGCCUUUGAUACUGGCUAUCUUGAGUACGGAAGAGGUAUGUGAAACUCCGAGUGUAGAGGUGAAAUUCGUAGAUAUUCGGAAGAACACCAGUGGCGAAGGCGACAUACUGGUCCGUUACUGACGCUGAGGCUCGAAAGCGUGGGGAGCAAACAGG
rnacentral:rRNA from 1 species